rnacentral:rRNA from 1 species
UGGAGCAACCGCCGCCUUUUUGAAGAAGGCCUUUCGGGUCGUAAAGCACUGUUGUAUGGGAAGAACAGCUAGAAUUGGAAAUGAUUUUAGUUUGACGGUACCAUACCAGAAAGGGACGGCUAAAUACGUGCCAGCAGCCGCGGUAAUACGUAUGUCCCGAGCGUUAUCCGGAUUUAUUGGGCGUAAAGCGAGCGCAGACGGUUUAUUAAGUCUGAUGUGAAAGCCCGGAGCUCAACUCCGGAAUGGCAUUGGAAACUGGUUAACUUGAGUGCAGUAGAGGUAAGUGGAACUCCAUGUGUAGCGGUGGAAUGCGUAGAUAUAUGGAAGAACACCAGUGGCGAAGGCGGCUUACUGGACUGCAACUGACGUUGAGGCUCGAAAGUGUGGGUAGCAAACAGGAUUAGAUACCCUGGUAGUCCACACCGUAAACGAUGAACACUAGGUGUUAGGAGGUUUCCGCCUCUUAGUGCCGAAGCUAACGCAUUAAGUGUUCCGCCUGGGGAGUACGACCGCAAGGUUGAAACUCAAAGGAAUUGACGGGGACCCGCACAAGCGGUGGAGCAUGUGGUUUAAUUCGAAGCAACGCGAAGAACCUUACCAGGUCUUGACAUCCUUUGAAGCUUUUAGAGAUAGAAGUGUUCUCUUCGGAGACAAAGUGACAGGUGGUGCAUGGUCGUCGUCAGCUCGUGUCGUGAGAUGUUGGGUUAAGUCCCGCAACGAGCGCAACCCUUAUUGUUAGUUGCCAGCAUUCAGAUGGGCACUCUAGCGAGACUGCCGGUGACAAACCGGAGGAAGGCGGGGACGACGUCAGAUCAUCAUGCCCCUUAUGACCUGGGCUACACACGUGCUACAAUGGCGUAUACAACGAGUUGCCAGCCCGCGAGGGUGAGCUAAUCUCUUAAAGUACGUCUCAGUUCGGAUUGUAGUCUGCAACUCGACUACAUGAAGUCGGAAUCGCUAGUAAUCGCGGAUCAGCACGCCGCGGUGAAUACGUUCCCGGGUCUUGUACACACCGCCCGUCACACCAUGGGAGUUUGUAAUGCCCAAAGCCGGUGGCCUAACCUUUUAGGAAGGAGCCGUCUAAGGCAGACAGACGCGAG